GAUGAACGCUGGCGGCGUGCCUAAUACAUGCAAGUCGAGCGAACGGACGAGAAGCUUGCUUCUCUGAUGUUAGCGGCGGACGGGUGAGUAACACGUGGAUAACCUACCUAUAAGACUGGGAUAACUUCGGGAAACCGGAGCUAAUACCGGAUAAUAUUUUGAACCGCAUGGUUCAAAAGUAAAAGACGGUCUUGCUGUCACUUAUAGAUGGAUCCGCGCUGCAUUAGCUAGUUGGUAAGGUAACGGCUUACCAAGGCAACGAUGCAUAGCCGACCUGAGAGGGUGAUCGGCCACACUGGAACUGAGACACGGUCCAGACUCCUACGGGAGGCAGCAGUAGGGAAUCUUCCGCAAGGGGCGAAAGCCUGACGGAGCAACGCCGCGUGAGUGAUGAAGGUCUUCGGAUCGUAAAACUCUGUUAUUAGGGAAGAACAUAUGUGUAAGUAACUGUGCACAUCUUGACGGUUCCUAAUCAGAAAGCCACGGCUAACUACGUG
rnacentral:rRNA from 1 species